rnacentral:tRNA from 1 species
GUCACAGUGGCAGAGUCUGGCUUAAUGCGCUAGUCUUGAAAACUAGAAACCGUGAUGAGCGGUUCGUAGGUUCGAAUCCUACCUGUGACGCCA